GAACAGUGGCCAUUUUGAUCCAAGACGCAGCAGAAAUGGGUUGUUGGUUGUGACGUUUCUCACGAUGAAAAUUAAAAGGUGAUUUAGCUCAUAGUAACCAAUUUGCAAAAUCAUUCAACUCAGACUUGGAAGUGCCUGUACAUUUCCGAAAUGGCGUGCCUCGUGUGUCUCGCUGCCCGUUCUUAGACGUACGUCUCAUCCCAUGCAACAGCAAAAAGUAUAACAAACACUUCUUCAACGCUGUUGGUUACCUUGUUGCAGCCAAAUGGUGAAAGGUGUGACGAAGACAGAUUGAACCCUUGUAUGCAGCAUGCGGUUGCAGUGUAAUCCAGAAGUUGCUGUGCUGUUGUAGCUGAGCUGUUCCAUCUGGGUUCCUGACUUGAAAAUUUUUGUGUUGUCGUUUUUAUCCAUGCCAUGAAAUUGCUCUGUGUUAACUGUGUGCUGACUUAAAAGUUUGAUGUGUUGUCUUUCGA